UACGGAGGGUGCAAGCGUUAUCCGGAUUCACUGGGUUUAAAGGGUGCGUAGGUGGGUUGGUAAGUCAGUGGUGAAAUCCCCGAGCUUAACUUGGGAACUGCCAUUGAUACUAUCAGUCUUGAAUACUGUGGAGGUCAGCGGAAUAUGUCAUGUAGCGGUGAAAUGCUUAGAUAUGACAUAGAACACCAAUUGCGAAGGCAGCUGGCUACGCAUAUAUUGACACUGAGGCACGAAAGCGUGGGGAUCAAACAGG
rnacentral:rRNA from 1 species